AGUGCGGGAGAGGAAAAGUGGAAUUCCUGGGUGUAGCGGUGAAAUGCGUAGAUAUCAGGAGGAACACCGGUGGUGUAGACGGCUUUCUGGACCGUAACUGACGCUGAGACACGAAAGCGUGGGUAGCAAACAGGAUUAGAUACCCUGGUAGUCCACGCCCUAAACGAUGCAUAUUUGGUGUGGGCAGUUCAUUCUGUCCGUGCCGGAGCUAACGCGUUAAAUAUGCCGCCUGGGGAGUACAGUCGCAAGGCUGAAACUCAAAGGAAUUGACGGGGGCCCGCACAAGCGGUGGAGCAUGUGGUUCAAUUCGACGCAACGCGAAGAACCUUACCUGGGCUCGAACGGCUUCUCAACGCCGGUGGAAACAUCGGUACCCCGCAAGGGGGUGGAGUCGAGGUGCUGCAUGGCUGUCGUCAGCUCGUGUCGUGAGAUGUUGGGUUAAGUCCCGCAACGAGCGCAACCCUUGUCCUGUGUUGCCAUACCGAAAGGUGGAACUCGCAGGAGACCGCCAGCGAUAAGCUGGAGGAAGGUGGGGAUGACGUCAAGUCCUCAUGGCCUUUAUGUCCAGGGCUACACACGUGCUACAAUGGACGGUACAAAGGGUCGCUAACCCGCGAGGGGGAGCCAAUCCCAAAAAACCGUUCUCAGUUCGGAUUGCAGGCUGCAACCCGCCUGCAUGAAGCUGGAAUCGCUAGUAAUGGCAGAUCAGCACGCUGCCGUGAAUACGUUCCCGGGCCUUGUACACACCGCCCGUCACGUCACGAAAGUGGAUUGUACUAGAAGUCUUCAGGCUGACCCGCAAGGGGGGCAGAGGCCCAAGGUAUGAUCCAUGAUUGGGGUGAAGUCGUAACAAGGUACC
rnacentral:rRNA from 1 species